GCCUGGGUAGCUCAGUCGGUUAAGCAUCUGACUUCGGCUCAGGUCAUAAUCUCACAGUUCAUGAGUUCGAGCCCCACAUCAGGCU
rnacentral:tRNA from 1 species